rnacentral:rRNA from 1 species
GAACUGAAGAGUUUGAUCAUGGCUCAGAUUGAACGCUGGCGGCAGGCCUAACACAUGCAAGUCGAGCGGAUGAAGGGAGCUUGCUCCUGGAUUCAGCGGCGGACGGGUGAGUAAUGCCUAGGAAUCUGCCUGGUAGUGGGGGAUAACGUCCGGAAACGGGCGCUAAUACCGCAUACGUCCUGAGGGAAGUGGGGAUCUUCGGACCUCACGCUAUCAGAUGAGCCUAGGUCGGAUUAGCUAGUUG